UUUCUUUAAGGACAGAGGAACCAUAUUUUGAUGGCACCUUUAUUGCCAAGGAUGCUGAUGUUAACCACUUUGUUGAGGAGUACCCUGAAAAGUGUUAGUAAAAUAUAUUGUGUUAUAGUGUUUGCACCCUUUUUUAAGACAAAAUAUGUGGCCAAUAAUUAAAAAUGUAUGAUUUUCCAUUGGUUAAUAGUUAUUGUAUCCCUCUAGACCAGUUGGUAUCAUCUUAUAUAACGCAGGCUAGUAUCCUAGCAUGCCAGAAUCACAUGUAGCAUCAUGGUGCACCUCUCCCAAGCAAAUUUGUGUUUGGUUUUAUGGUUUUGUGUGGCUGUAAUGGGAAUGGAAGAUGCAUUUUCUGAAGUUCCUUUAGCCCCAGCAAAACCUUUAGGAGUAGUUUGAAAGUAAACCUUUAGUGUCUAUAUUUAUUAGAGGUGUCAUUUGGUGUGAUGCAACCUAACUCCUGAUGGACAAAAUAAGUAGGUAGAGAGGAAAAUCACUGCUUAUGGUUUUAACCAGAAUAUAUUGUCAUGCAGACAGCAGGCAAAGGAGUGUGCGGAGCCAGUCAGUGGUCUGCAGCACGGGAGACUGCCAGGAGGGCAAACAAAUUGGACGAGGAAGGCCUUGAGGUGGCUGUUUGCAGGCAUGGGGUGCUACUUAAGGGGAGAAAUUUUUGCAUAUCCCCUCUACCUGCAGUCGGAGCUCCAGGCAGCCACAAAGGGCCAGUUUUACUGCACAGACAUUGCCUGCAAGUACUGGCCCUAUUUAGAGAAGGUGGCAGUGUCCAUGCUCGACCUGAGGCCAUUACUGCAGAUGAAGCCAUUCCUUUCCAUUAUGCAUGCCAAGGCCCAUUCAACCAAGCGUGAGAUACUACAUAUUCUUCAUCAUAACAUUUGAGAUUGGGCAUUCAUUUUUCUUUCUUGGUGUUGUCUGAUCAUUUGGAGUGGCAGGAACCAGAAUUGUGCAGGCACACAGCUGGGGAGGAGGUAGACAUGGUCAACAGUUACCUAUCUGUGCCCUCACGACCAAAUACAUGACCAAGUCUGCAACAAAAUCCGUCACCUCCGACAAAGGAAACUUGGGGAAGAAAAGAGAAAACUCUUUCAAACUAUCAAGACCUACAAUGAGCGGGUGCCAGAGGAGGAACACAUCGAUGAGGACAAGGUGGAGAGCAGACGCUCUGUGGUGGGAGAAGAGAGUGGGACAGACACUCUCAUAUGGCCAUGGGAAUUGAACAGUGGUGAGACCAGAAAUACCCUCACUAUCUACUUCAAGAGAAGAUGAUCAUUGUGAUGAGGGAGAUGCAACAGCACUGCACCUAUCUCAGUAGGCUGGCUGGGGGCCUCAGGACAGACAUGUCAGAAAUAUCCCAUGGCAGUGCCUACUCCACUUCUUCCACUUCAGGCAGAGAGACAGAACAGUGGACACUUGUGCCACCAGAUCAUCCUCUGAAGAUCACUCAGAGAGCUGCAUCGGAGCGAGAGCCCCCCAAAAACCCCUCAGGUACGUAUACUCAGAAUACACAGACUCAACUUAAAAAACACUGAGGUAACAAUGUGCGUGGAUCUUUUGAAGUAACUCUAACUCGGCCAUUAUUGAAUAAAUCACAUGAGACUUUUACUGUUACACUAACUCAGUUUGUUUCAUUACAACCAACAUGAUUUGUUUUGUCCUCUGCAAGCUUAAUUAAAGUGAACCAAUUUCAUUUUAUUAAAUCUGACAAUUUGGUAAAUGAAGUUUAAAUGAAACUUUUGUGGCUAUAGUGGGAAUAAGAAAUUCUGUGGUUGCUAUGGCAACCACUAUGGUGCGUUCCUGUGACAGAAACAUGUUGGUUGCCAUGCCAACCACUAUGUUAUGUAGGUUUGAAAUGGACAUCAAAGGGCCCCGGGUCUUUGAUGGGGGGGUUGCCACAGGUACAAAACAUAGUGGUUGCCAUGGUAACCCCUGACAUCAAAGACCCGGGGCCCUUGAUGUCUGUUUGAAAUGAUCCACAUCAAAGACCCGGGGCCCUUUGAUGUCCAUUUUCAAACCUAAACCUAACAUUUAACAACACACAUGCUUACCUAAAUUGUCAGCUGCGUUGAGUAUACAUUUUAGUAUAUUUCAGCUGUUGUUGGUAUUUUAUUGUUGUAGUGUAUGUUUAUUGUCUUAAUAUAUUUUUAUUUCUGAUUAUAUUUUUAUUGUAUUUACACAGAUUUUUAUUUG